AUCAGUUUCCACAUAGAAAUGUCGGUUCCACCACAGCUUUGUGUUCCCAAGCAGUGAAGUGGUACUGAGCAGAAACAAGACGUUAGGCAACAGAUGAGACAUAAUUUACACAGCGUCCUCACCGUGGUUGUGUCAUGCUCUCAUUUAAUGUUUUACUCCCCUCUAGUGGAUUCUUCUAUAGUACAUGAUACCUUAAGUACAGUAUCGGACAGCAAGUUUUAAAAUUAAUUUUAAAAUGUGUUUAAUGCAGGCUCCUGUUUUACAGAGCUUCAGUACAAGUCUAAAAUUUCAGGACAAAAACAUAAAAAGCCUAUUAGUUCACAGUUCUUGUUUUUCAGGUGAAUGAGAUAAAACCCAGGAAAGGAAAUAUCUCACCCAAGAAGAGAGGAUUUUGGACAGCUCUCCUCAGCAUUAAUGGCAGUGUUGAGCACACAGACGUGUGAGUUUGCCACGGAGUCGGAAGCCUGCACCUUGUCCCUGAGAUGCUUAUCAAGUGAGGAGAAAUUGGAAGUCAAGCUCAGCAGGAGGGGACGAGCUUGGCCAGAGUGUUCCAAUCAUGCCUGCUUUCCCCUCAAACUAAGACAGAAUCUCUUACCCUAACGUGGGACCUCCCAAACUUAACUUCCCUGGAUGAAGUGCACGUCUAGAUUUAAAAAUGAUGCUGCCCCCGCUGCCCAAGUGACUUGAACGGAGCCCACAUAUCAUUAGGCAGCCCUGGAUGCCUCCUUGGAAAGUUCUUCCCUGAUAGAAAGAGCCUGUGCUGACUGCUACUUCAUUUCUCUGCCCCAGAGCUCCCUUGGGAAAGAUGCCUUGCUCAGAAUUUUCUGAUAAGCUAAUGUGGGUAACAAUGAUAAUAAACCCUUGGGGGAAUAAUCACCUG
rnacentral:lncRNA from 1 species